UGGACAGAUUAUUGUAUUCGACUGUAUUCACGGUGUUAAAUAGGGGAUUACACUAUUUUUAAAAUGGAAAGUGAAUCAAUUAACAUAAUAGACUCCU
rnacentral:pre_miRNA from 1 species